GGGUGCCUGUGUGAUUGGAGAGUCCCUCGGCAUCUUCCAGAAUGAGUGUUUUAGUGACUCCUCACUUUGGAUAUGAGGACACUAAGGUGUAGACGGGCUAAGUGACCUUCCUGGUGAUCAGCAGGAAUCCAUUGCUCAGGAACAGCUGGAGUGACAGUGCGCCUUGACAGCUGGGGUGAGCUCUAACCUUGGCCACGGUGCACCUCGAGGAGGGAAGGCUGUGUACCCCCGGCGAAGACCGGGGCUGCGGCUCCCAGAUCUGGAGCCUGGCCCGUCCCCGCUGGGCCGGCCUCUGGCUCCUGUCUGACCGCGGAGCCUAGGCGUGCUGCUUCCCGCUCUUCUUCUGGGCUGGCCAGGAGUCCUCUCCGUUUUCUGUCUAGGCCUCUGAGCCGCUCAGCCCUACUCCCUCACAGCUCCCUUCUCUCCACCUGGCUGUGGAUCUUUCCAGGGAAAGCCGCAUCUGAGAAUCCUCCACAUUUGUGAGGAUGAAUAAAGACAGAGUGUCAACUUGAUUACCUGAGCAUUUCAAAAGGAGGGAACGCUCCGAAAUCGCACACAGCAUCUGUGAUAAAUGAGGCGGAUUCGACAUAACAGAGAACAGGAAAGGAAUGGAGAAGCAAGACACUGUUGGAGAAAAAUGAGACUCUCCUCAAAAUGUGUUGCUUCUCGCCUCCCUCGGCUGCAAGUGACCCUCUCUUCGGUGACACAGAUGCACAGUGGAGAGACCACGGAACGUCCCUUUAAGUGGACGACCCAGAAAAAUUGUGUUAUGCUCUCUGUUAGCCCCCCAAAUUUCAAUGUAGUUUUAAUGUAAAAUUGCAAUAAUAAGGUUGUAAUGUAAAUUAUGCACACAUUUUGGGUUUCUCUCUGGCUGAAUUUUAACACUUAACCAUUUGGCCUUCUGGUAGAAUGUACCUUUAGCUACACCAGGUCUGUCCAGAAAGUAUCAAGCCAUGUAGCAU